rnacentral:rRNA from 1 species
UACGUAGGCGGAAAAUUAAGUCAGUAGUGAAAUCCUGCAGCCUAACUGUAGAACUGUUAUUGAUACUGGUUUUCUUGAAUUUAGUUGAGGUAGGCGGAAUGUGUAAUGUAGCGGUGAAAUGCUUAGAUAUUACACAGAACACCGAUUGCGAAGGCAGCUUACUAAGCUAUGAUUGACGCUGAGGUACGAAAGCGUGGGGAGCGAACAGGAUUAGAUACCCUGGUAGUC